rnacentral:rRNA from 1 species
CAUCCAGAGAAUUUAGCAGAGAUGCUUUAGUGCCUUCGGGAACUCUGAGACAGGUGCUGCAUGGCUGUCGUCAGCUCGUGUUGUGAAAUGUUGGGUUAAGUCCCGNAACGAGCGCAACCCUUAUCCUUUGUUGCCAGCACGUAAUGGUGGGAACUCAAAGGAGACUGCCGGUGAUAAACCGGAGGAAGGUGGGGAUGACGUCAAGUCAUCAUGGCCCUUACGAGUAGGGCUACACACGUGCUACAAUGGCGCAUACAAAGAGAAGCGACCUCGCGAGAGCAAGCGGACCUCAUAAAGUGCGUCGUAGUCCGGAUUGGAGUCUGCAACUCGACUCCAUGAAGUCGGAAUCGCUAGUAAUCGUAAAUCAGAAUGUUACGGUGAAUACGUUCCCGGGCCUUGUACACACCGCCCGUCACACCAUGGGAGUGGGUUGCAAAAGAAGUAGAUAGCUUAACCUUCGGGAGGGCGUUUACCACUUUGUGAUUCAUGACUGGGGUGAAGUCGUAACAAGGUAAGCGUAGUGCU